CAUGUACCAGAGGGGUCCCUCGGCCUGGCCUGUGGGAUCGGGCCAAAACCAGGUCUCUGACAUCCUCUGAGGGGUCCUGGAUUGCGAGAGGGUGCAGGCCAGGCUGAGGGACCCCACUGGUGCACG
rfam:Myotis lucifugus cont2.26951, whole genome shotgun sequence.